GCCCGGAUGGUGGAAUGCAGACACGACGAGCUUAAACCUCGUUGGCCCUCAGGCCGUGCCGGUUCGAGUCCGGCUCCGGGCACCA
rnacentral:tRNA from 1 species